rnacentral:rRNA from 1 species
UAAUACAGAGGGUGCGAGCGUUAAUCGGAAUUACUGGGCGUAAAGCGUGCGUAGACGGUUAUCUAAGUCGGAUGUGAAAGCCCCGGGCUCAACCUGGGAAUUGCAUUCGAGACUGAAUAGCUAGGGUACGGAAGAGGGAAGCGGAAUUUCAGGUGUAGCAGUGAAAUGCGUAGAUAUCUGAAGGAACAUCAGUGGCGAAGGCGGCUUCCUGGUCCAGUACCGACGUUCAGGCACGAAAGCGUGGGGAGCAAACAGGAUUAGAUACCCUGGUAGUCCACGCCUUAAACGAUGAGAACUAGACGUUGGAAGGGUUAGCCUUUCAGUGUCGCAGCUAACGCGAUAAGUUCUCCGCCUGGGGAGUACGGCCGCAAGGUUG